rnacentral:rRNA from 1 species
UACGUAGGGUGCAAGCGUUGUCCGGAAUUAUUGGGCGUAAAGAGCUCGUAGGCGGCUUGUCGCGUCGACUGUGAAAACCUGCAGCUCAACUGUGGGCUUGCAGUCGAUACGGGCAGGCUAGAGUUCGGUAGGGGAGACUGGAAUUCCUGGUGUAGCGGUGAAAUGCGCAGAUAUCAGGAGGAACACCGGUGGCGAAGGCGGGACUCUGGGCCGAUACUGACGCUGAGGCGCGAAAGCGUGGGGAGCAAACAGG